rnacentral:ncRNA from 2 species
AUAAAUACAACGGGGAGCCCGGUAAGCCGGGCUGAGAGGAAGGCGUGAAACCUUCGACCCGCAGACCUGAUCCGGAUAAUGCCGGCGGAGGGAUAUGCUUGAGUAUCAGCC